rnacentral:rRNA from 1 species
CCUACGGGUGGCAGCAGUGAGGAAUAUUGGUCAAUGGGCGCGAGCCUGAACCAGCCAAGUAGCGUGAAGGAUGACUGCCCUACGGGUUGUAAACUUCUUUUAUAAAGGAAUAAAGUGAGGCACGUGUGCCUUUUUGUAUUUACUUUAUGAAUAAGGAUCGGCUAAUUCCGUGCCAGCAGCCGCGGUAACACGGCGGGACCGAGCGUUAUCCGGAUUUAUUGGGUUUAAAGGGAGCGGAGAUGGGUUGUUAAGUCAGUUGUGAAAGUUUGGGGCUCAACCGUAAAAUUGCAAUUGAUACUGGCAGCCUUGAGUACAGUUGAGGUAGGCGGAAUUCGUGGUGUAGCGGUGAAAUGCUUAGAUAUCACGAAGAACUCCGAUUGCGAAGGCAGCCUACUAAACUGCCACUGACAUUGAUGCUCGAAAGUGUGGGUAUCAAACAGGAUUAGAUACCCGAGUAGUC